CUACCAAAAACAACAAAAUUAAAAAAAAGAUACCCAAAAAAGGAAAAAACCAUCAAAACCACGGUAGUAAUUCCUAAUACAGGUGGUUCAUCAGCUUGGAUAAGAAUAAGCGAGGUGAGUAACAAUGGCGGAAGUAUUAAAUCCAUUAAAAUUGGACCCAGCAGCUUUAGUAUAAGCACCCAUAUUAGGAAAAACCAGCCAAUCAUUAACCUGCAGCUCCGGUAACUGGUAAUCCCUUAAAACAGUAUCAAGAGCAUCACAAGUGGGCCCAAACACAGUCGUCGGAAACGUUUUCGACCCGCCGCAGGUAACGUUACUACGAUUCGACAGAACAGCUAACGGCGUUGCAUUCACCGUCGCAUGGUCGUAAAGUACACAGUUCAUCGAACCGUACAGCCCGUCGUUAA
rnacentral:lncRNA from 1 species